rnacentral:rRNA from 1 species
GCCGCGUGAGUGAUGAAGGCCCUCGGGUCGUAAAACUCUUUUCAAGAGGAAGAGGAAGGACGGUACUCUUGGAAUAAGCCUCGGCUAACUACGUGCCAGCAGCCGCGGUAACACGUAGGAGGCGAGCGUUAUUCGGAUUUACUGGGCGUAAAGCGCGUGUAGGCGGCUAUAUAAGUUGGAUGUGAAAGCUCCCGGCUUAACUGGGAGAGGACGUUCAAAACUAUAUAGCUUGAGUACGAGAGAGGAAAAUGGAAUUCCGGGUGUAGUGGUGAAAUGCGUAGAUAUCCGGAGGAACACCAGUGGCGAAGGCGAUUUUCUGGCUCGAGACUGACGCUCAGACGCGAAAGCUAGGGUAGCAAACGGGAUUAGAGACCCCGGUAGUCCUAGCUGUAAACGAUGUAGACUAGGCGUUGGUGGAGUAAAAUCCAUCAGUGCCGCAGCAAACGCGAUAAGUCUACCGCCUGGGGACUACGGCCGCAAGGUUAAAACUCAAAGGAAUU